rnacentral:lncRNA from 1 species
UUUAAGAUCCUCACCGGCCGUUUUUGUUCCGGGGAGAUCUUUGUGAUCCCGCCGGCCUUCUUUGCUCCCUUAGGAGGUCUUGCGCAAGGUUCAGGCUCAUUGGCCUUACUGUCGCUUCGUCAUCUCAGCUGGUUUUGUGCCUAACUGAGGUCUUGGGUAAGAUUCAGGCUCAUUGGCCUUACUGUCGCUUCGUCAUCUCAGCUGGUUUUGUGCCUAACUGAGGUCUUGUUCAUUUUUCUGAAUUUUUCUGCAAAAUAAGAGCUUGCACAAAGCGUAUAUAACGAGAAUGCUCGUUGUUAAUUUAAUAAUAUUCAUCAAUAAAUAAUAUGUCGCACAUGUCACUUAGUUUCAUA